rnacentral:rRNA from 1 species
UACAGAGGAUGCAAGCGUUAUCCGGAAUGAUUGGGCGUAAAGCGUCUGUAGGUGGCUUUUUAAGUCCGCCGUCAAAUCCCGGGGCUCAACUCUGGACAGGCGGUGGAAACUACCAAGCUGGAGUACGGUAGGGGCAGAGGGAAUUUCCGGUGGAGCGGUGAAAUGCGUAGAUAUCGGAAGGAACACCUGUGGCGAAAGCGGCUCACUGGACCAUUACUGACGCUGAGGCACGAAAGCUAGGGGAGCAAACAGG